CAUGGUCACUCCAGUCCUCAAAGAGGCCUUCCGGCUGUUUGCACUUCUGAUGUUUAAUCAUUCAUCACCAUUAGCUGCGGUAAGGAAACGAUAAUGGCGGAAAAGAAGUUCAAAGGAGCCCCAUUCGGAGUACAGUCUGCGAGGUUCGACGUCUCUGGCGUCCAUCCUACAAAUAAGAAGACGGGUACCUACACUGAGAUAUCAUACUGCAAAAAAAGUACAAACGAAAUGGAGAGGAAGCUUGGCCCUGGCACCUAUGAUCCAGAGACGGGAGACUUUAGCCCAAGGGCAGUGUGGCAGCGAACAAGGGGCCCAGGGUGGAAGAAGGCACAAGAGACAAGCAGACUGUCACAAAUGCCCCUUCUGCUGUAUAGAGAUGUUUGGGGGGAAAAAAGCUUCUUGAAAACCAAAGUGGGCCCAGGAAGCUACAAGAUCUGUGACUUUAUUGAGCUGCAAAAGAAAAGGCCAUCAAGUAAGAGAGGAGUGUGUGAAGCCAGAGAAGAGAGGUUUAAAAAUCAUCCACAGAGCUGGACCCCGGGACCUGGGAGUUAUGGCAAAGGGGGGAUACCAUGGGCAGUACUGGAGGAGAAGAAGAGCCAGUCAGUAGGAACAUAUCCCCCCAUGGACUUCAACUAUGGGGUGAAGCGAUUUGAGGAGCGCACAGUAGGCUGCAAUUUAGGACCGGGCACUUAUCAUCUGAAGAGUUCCAUUGACCUUCUUCUAGGUCACAGAGUCAGUAAACGAGGACCAUAUGACCUGUUCACUGGCAGCCGAGACAGGCCUGCCACCUGUGGCUAUUUUGCAGAACUGAAAAAAGCAAACCUGGACCCUGGAGAAUACAGCAGCGGUGUAAAGACAUUGGUGGAAGGGCUGGAGAGGAAAGAGAAGAAGAAGCAUGGUGUGUUCAGCACCCUGCCCCAGUACCCUGCUGUUCCCACAGACAGAAUCUUCCUCAAUUCCCUGUCCCUGUGUCCUCGCCCUGCGACCUUCCCUGGCCCUGGCUGGUAUGAUAUGGUUCUAACUUCCCAACCACAAAACCAAAAACCACCUCCCUUCCUUUCCUCUGCACCACGUGUCAACAGCAGGACAGAGAAACUCCAGAAUGGAAACUAUUUGCAACUUCUUCCUGGUGUUUAUAUCUAAGGAGAACCUUCCCCAGGCUAGCAUGAUUAAAAUCUCCUAAAACAAUGAUGGGGGAAUCUGAAUGUGAUUUUUACCGCCAACUGUUACAAAGCAGGAGCUGCAUUCACAGCCGGUGAAAUACAGAGUAAGCAGCCACUAGUACAACUGAGGCAAGUUCUAUGAAUGGAUAAAAAGAUUUGCAAUUUAUGUAAAGAGUUAGAAACGGACACCUCCGCCUGUAAGCAUAAAUGAAUGUUCCUGUAUCUGUCCUGAUCUUUCCUCCUUAUACUACAGGUCAAAGCCAAAAGUCAAGCCAGCCAGCCAGUCAGUCAUGACAUGCAGUAGCACCUCUGAUCUUGUUGAACCACAUCAUACAAACACAGCUGGUCCGGGACGCUAUGACAUCCGUAACAGACAGUGGAACAAGACCGCCAGAGGC